rnacentral:rRNA from 1 species
GAUCAUGGCUCAGAUUGAACGCUGGCGGCACGCCUAACACAUGCAAGUCGAGCGGUAGCAGGGUUAGUAGCAAUACUAGCUGCUGACGAGCGGCGGACGGGUGAGUAACACGUGGGAACCUUCCCUAUAGUACGGAAUAGCCCAGGGAAACUUGGAGUAAUACCGCAUACGCCCGAGAGGGGAAAGAUUUAUCGCUAUAGGAUGGGCCCGCGUAGGAUUAGCUAGUUGGUGAGGUAAUGGCUCACCAAGGCGACGAUCCUUAGCUGGUCUGAGAGGACGACCAGCCACACUGGGACUGAGACACGGCCCAGACUCCUACGGGAGGCAGCAGUGGGGAAUAUUGGACAAUGGGCGCAAGCCUGAUCCAGCCAUGCCGCGUGAGUGAUGAAGGCCUUAGGGUUGUAAAGCUCUUUUGCCGGGGACGAUAAUGACGGUACCCGGAGAAUAAGUCCCGGCUAACUUCGUG